rnacentral:tRNA from 1 species
AGGGUUGUGGCUCAGUGGUAGAGCGCUUGACUAGCAUGCAUGAGGCACUGGGUUCGGUCCCCAGCACCACUU